AAAUAUUUUGUACAGGACCGACAACACCACAGUGGUGGCGUAUAUCAACAGACAAGGUGGUCUGCGCUCACGUCAUCUGCACACGUUGGCACACA